rnacentral:tRNA from 1 species
AACAUAGAAGUAAAAAAUUUACAAUUAGUUUCGACCUAAAAUUAAAGAUAAUAUUCUUCAUGUUU